CAUGUAUUAAGUUGACAGUUACUGUGUGAUCACACGUUAAGGGGACAGUUACCAGGUGUUCAUGUAUUAAGUUGACAGUUACUGUGUGAUCACAUGUUAAGGGAACAGUUACCAGGUGUUCAUGUAUUAAGUUGACAGUUACUGUGUGAUCACAUGUUAAGGGGACAGUUACCAGGUGUUCAUGUAUUAAGUUGACAGUUACUGUGUGAUCACACGUUAAGGGGACAGUUACCAGGUGUUCAUAUAUUAAGUUGACAGUUACUGUGUGAUCACAUGUUAAGGGGACAGUUACCAGGUGUUCAUGCAUGAAGCUGACAGUUACUGUGUGAUCACACGUUAA